rnacentral:rRNA from 1 species
GACAGAGGGUGCAAACGUUGUUCGGAAUUACUGGGCAUAAAGAGCACGUAGGUGGUGCGCUAAGUCACGUGUGAAAUCCCCCGGCUCAACCGGGGAAUGGCGCGUGAUACUGGCGGACUCGAGGCGGGUAGGGGUGAGCGGAACUCCAGGUGGAGCGGUGAAAUGCGUAGAUAUCAGGAAGAACACCCGUGGCGAAGGCGGUUCUCUGGGACGGUACUGACGCUGAGACGCGAAAGCGUGGGGAGCGAACAGG